AUACGGAGGAUCCGAGCGUUAUCCGGAUUUAUUGGGUUUAAAGGGUGCGCAGGCGGCCAUUUAAGUCAGCGGUUAAAUCGUGGGGCUCAACCCCAUUCUGCCGUUGAUACUGGGUGGCUUGAUUGCGGUCGAGGUUGGCGGAAUUCGUUGUGUAGCGGUGAAAUGCAUAGAUAUGACGAAGAACACCGAUUGCGUAGGCAGCUGACCAGACCGCAAAUGACGCUCAUGCACGAAAGUGCGGGGAUCGUACAGGAUUAGAUACCCUGGUAGUCCGCACAGUAAACGAUGAAUACUUGUUUUCGGCGAUAUAAUGUCGGAGGCAAAGCGAAAGCGAUAAGUAUUCCACCUGGGGAGUACGCCGGCAACGGUGAAACUCAAAGGAAUUGACGGGG
rnacentral:rRNA from 1 species